rnacentral:rRNA from 1 species
GAUGAACGCUGGCGGCGUGCCUAACACAUGCAAGUCGAGCGAACAGACGAGGAGCUUGCUCCUCUGACGUUAGCGGCGGACGGGUGAGUAACACGUGGAUAACCUACCUAUAAGACUGGGAUAACUUCGGGAAACCGGAGCUAAUACCGGAUAAUAUAUUGAAUCGCAUGGUUCAAUAGUGAAAGACGGUUUUGCUGUCACUAAUAGAUGGAUCCGCGCCGCAUUAGCUAGUUGGUAAGGUAACGGCUUACCAAGGCGACGAUGCGUAGCCGACCUGAGGGGGUGGUCGGCCACACUGGAACUGAGACACGGUCCAGACUCCUACGGGAGGCAGCAGUAGGGAAUCUUCCGCGAUGGGCGAAAGCCUGACGGAGCAACGCCGCGUGAAUGAUGAAGGUCUUCGGAUCGUAAAGCUCUGUUGUUAGGAGAGAACAAAUGUGUAAGUAACUGUGCACGUCUUGACGGUACCUGGUCAAAAAGCCACGGCUAACUACGUG